CCACACUUAGAAAACCACUAAAUAGACUUUGACUGUUUUGGUUGGCACAGCUUUUGUAUUUGCUGAUAACCACAAAGGGUCGUUUUGGGUGAAAGACACAGAAGGUUUUGACUUUUGGUUUUCUGUUAUCACUAACAAUGAAAGACUAAGUCUGGGAGAGUCCAUACAGCCAGAGCACCACGUUUAUAUUAGAUUGGAAGAUAAGAAGUGAUCUAGAAACGUUUUUCACUUGUGCAGCAAGUAUGAAUGUUCUUCUGAAAGGAUUGCUGCUUGUGGCGCUGGUUCUGCUGGUUUCUACUGAGGCACAGCAGCCAUAUGAAAGCUGGGACAGCAAAUACAAAAUACAUGUUGAUAAAGCGCUGGAAAAAGUCAACACUGGAAACCUUGGUGUAAAUCAUGCUAACUUUCAUCUAAUUCAGGAGCCUCUGAGAAUUUCGGACAACUAUUAUAUUGUAAAUAUUAUUCUGAGAAGCACAAAAUGCAAAAAGGAACGUGGUAAUCAUGGCCAUCGAAAGGAGUGUGAGCCAGUAAACAGGCAUUUUUUUGACUGCGUUGUGUGUAAGACAAACGAUGGUGAACUUGUUCACUGUGCAACACUAAGAGAUGUCCUGAAGGCAAAGCCAGCUGAGAGAGAAAAGUGUCUUUCAAAAAAAGAACAAGAAGGUGCCCAGAAUUUAUUUUAGGUGUUAAAACGUGCAAGAUAAUACAAUAAAAAAAAACUACUGAUCAUCAUAUAAGGGAUUUAACGCAUUUAAAUAAUUUGCUCAUAAAGUAUAUUGAGUAUCAGCAUGCAUGAAUAUAAAUAUUAAAUUAUUGUUCAAUCAAAAAACAGUUACAUUUAUGUAGAGCUGUAUGAUUGAAAUUAUUACAUUGUUAAAUGACUGUUCUGUUACUUUUCUGACUUAUUUUCUGUCAGUAAUUACAGUAAUUGUCCCUAAUAUUGCAGCUUUUGUAAGAUUAGUCACUGUUGGUGUUAAAAAAUACUACAAUAAACCUGUUGAAAUCCUGUCCUAUUUUUUUGUUUUGAAGAUUUGUUUAUAUAUGUUUAGAUGUCUGUUUGGCAUUUGGCAGCUGCAGUGGCUGUUGUUUCAGGUCAGCACUGACCCUACCAUAGCAGUGGCUGUUGUGUAAGACUCAGUGAGUGUGUUCUGGCAGUGAUUACAUUUAGAGAGAGAAAAUGUAGUUGGUGGGUGGAGAUAUAAAACACAUGGAUUAGACAUUUAUCUUUUGCCUACUUUUAUUUUCGCUUGUAUCCUAAAACUAACAUGACCAGGUUUUGUCUUUGAAAUAAGGCCAACUAAAUCUGGACUUUUGACCUAUCCUACUUUUUGUCCUGAAAGUGCCAUUAUAAAAUCCUUCUUUAUUGUUAAAAGAACUUGUAUUUAAAUAAUUGUCCCUAAUAUUGUUGGUGUUAAAAAAACUAUACAAUUAACCUGUUAAAAUCCUGUCCAGGUCCAGGAAUCCAUGAUUCCAUGCUCUUUGUGUCCAGAUUAACAUCAGAUGCUCCUCAGUUAGUCAUUCUCCUGCUUUUUAAUAGGUGUGUCUGUUGAAGGUUGGUGGCGGUUUCUGCAUUAGCUACAGGAAUUGUUUAGUAAACACUUAACACACGUUAUUAAAAUACAAAGUUUUAAAGCCUAACUUUUAUGGGAGAAAGACAUGUAAAUGUCAAGAAGCAUUAACACAAAUUGUAAUUUUUUUACAUUUGUUUUUAACACAUGAAGCAAACAUUCCUGGGUCAUCUGGUACUGGUAGUGAUAAACACACCCCACUUUGAAAACCACUAAAUAGACUUUGACUGUUUUUGGUUGGCACAGCUUUUGUUUUUGCUGAUAACCACAAAGGUUGUUUUGGGUGAAAGACACAGAAGGCUUUGACUUUUGGUUUUAUGAAUGUUGACAGAAUCCACAGCUGUUAUCACUCACAAUGAAACACUGAGACUAAGUCUGGGAGAGUCCAUACAGCCAGAGCACCUCGUUUAUAUUAGACUGGAAGAAAAGAAGUGAUCUAGAAACGUUUUUUCCCUUGUGCAGCAAGUAUGAAUGUUCUUCUGAAAGGAUUGCUGCUUGUGGCGCUGGUUCUGCUGGUUUCUACUGGGGCACAACAGCCAUAUGAAAGCUUGGACAGCAAAUACAAAAUACAUAUUGAUAAAGCGCUGAAAAAAGUCAACACUGGUGACCUUGAUGUAAAUCAUGCUAACUUUCUUCUAAUUCAUGAGCCUCUAAAGAUUUCAGGGAACUAUUAUGUAAAUAUUAUUCUGAGAAGCACAUAAUGCAAAAAGGAACGUGGUAAUCAUGGCCAUCGAAAGGAGUGUGAGCCAGUAAACAGGCAUUUUUUUGACUGCGUUGUGUGUAAGACAAACGAUGAACUUGUUGACUGUGCAUUAUUAAGAGAUGUCCUGAAGGCAAAGCCAGCUGAGAGAGAAAAGUGUCUUUCAGAAAGAGAAGAAAAAUUUGGCCGGGGUAGUUCUCAAUUUUAGGUGUUUAAACGUGCAAGAUAAUACAAUAAAAAAAUCCUACUGAUCAUCAUAUAUGGGAUUUAAUGCAUUUAAAUAAUUUGCUUAUAUAAGUAUAUUGAGUAUUAACAUACAUAAAUAUAAAUAUUUAAUUAUUGUUUAAUCGAAAAACAGUUACAUUUAUGUAGAGCUGUAUGAUUUACUGAAAUAAUUAAAUUGUUAAAUGACUGUUUUGUUACUUUUCUUACUUAUUUUCUGUCAUUAAUUAUGUUGUGCAGCAGGUAUAAAAAGCCUCAGCAUUACAAAACUCACAACGUCUGUAUUUUACUCUUCUAUUACUGAUGUUUGUGCCAGGAAUUAAAGUUCAUUUGCAUGAUACAAUCUUAA